CACGUAGGGUGCGAGCGUUGUCCGGAAUUAUUGGGCGUAAAGAGCUCGUAGGCGGUGUGUCGCGUCGGCCGUGAAAACCUGCAGCUUAACUGUGGGCUUGCGGUCGAUACGGGCAUCACUGGAGUUCGGCAGGGGAGACUGGAAUUCCUGGUGUAGCGGUGAAAUGCGCAGAUAUCAGGAGGAACACCAGUGGCGAAGGCGGCAUCCUGGACCGGCAUUGACGCUGAGGCGCGAAAGCUAGGGUAGCAAACGGG
rnacentral:rRNA from 1 species